GACGUAGGGCGCGAGCGUUGUCCGGAUUUAUUGGGCGUAAAGAGCUCGUAGGCGGCUUGUUGCGUCGUCCGUGAAAACCCGGGGCUCAACCCCGGGCCUGCAUUCGAUACGGGCAGACUAGAGUUCGGUAGGGGAGUCUGGAAUUCCUGGUGUAGCGGUGAAAUGCGCAGAUAUCAGGAGGAACACCGGUGGCGAAGGCGGGACUCUGGGCCGAUACUGACGCUGAGGAGCGAAAGCGUGGGGAGCAAACAGG
rnacentral:rRNA from 1 species